rnacentral:rRNA from 1 species
CAGUCGCCGCGGUAAUACGGAGGGAGCUAGCGUUGUUCGGAAUUACUGGGCGUAAAGCGCGCGUAGGCGGUUACUCAAGUCAGAGGUGAAAGCCCGGGGCUCAACCCCGGAACUGCCUUUGAAACUAGGUGACUAGAAUCUUGGAGAGGUCAGUGGAAUUCCGAGUGUAGAGGUGAAAUUCGUAGAUAUUCGGAAGAACACCAGUGGCGAAGGCGGCUGACUGGACAAGUAUUGACGCUGAGGUGCGAAAGCGUGGGGAGCAAACAGGAUUAGAUACCCGAGUAGUCCCUGUCUCUUAUAC